rnacentral:rRNA from 1 species
UGAGUACGAGACGCUAAGGCGUCGAAGUAGUGGAUGUCAUACUUCCAAGAAAAGCUUGCACUGUCAUAAAUAGAAAACGCCUGUACCAUAACCGACACAGGUGGGUAGGUAGAGUAUACUAAGGGGCGCGAGAUAACUCUCUCUAAGGAACUCGGCAAAAUGACUCCGUAACUUCGGGAGAAGGAGUGCCUUAUUCGUAAGGCUGCAAUAACAAGAUCCAAGCAACUGUUUAUCAAAAACACAGGUCUCCGCUAAGUUGUAAGACGAUGUAUGGGGGCUGACGCCUGCCCAGUGCCAGAAGGUUAAAGAAGUCGGUUAGCAUUAGCGAAGCUGGUAACUGAAGCCCUGGUGAACGGCGGCCGUAACGAUAACGGUCCUAAGGUAGCGAAAUUCCUUGUCGGGUAAGUUCCGACCCGCACGAAAGGCGUAAUGAUUUUGGAUACUGUCUCGGAGAGGGGCUCGGUGAAAUAGACUUGUCUGUGAAGAUGCGGACUACCUGCACCAGGACAGAAAGACCCUAUGAAGCUUUACUGUAACUUGAAAUUGAAAUUGGACUUUAUUCGCGCAGUAUAGGUGGGAGGUGUUGAUUAUAAUCUUGCGGGAUUAUUGGAGCCAUCAGUGAGAUACCACUCUUGUAAUGUUAGAUUUCUAACUUUGAAUCAUUAUCUGGUCAAAGAACAGUUUCAGGCGGGCAGUUUGACUGGGGCGGUCGCCUCCUAAAUGGUAACGGAGGCGUACAAAGGUUUCCUCUGAACGGGUAGAAAUCGUAUCUAGAGUGUAAAGGCAUAAGGAAGCUUGACUGUGAGACCUACAAGUCGAGCAGGGACGAAAGUCGGUCUUAGUGAUCUGACGGUACUGAGUGGAAAGGCCAUCACUCAACGGAUAAAAGUUACUCUAGGAUAACAGGCUGAUCUCCCCCAAGAGUUCACAUCGACGGGGAGGUUUGGCACCUCGAUGUCGGCUCAUCGCAUCCUGGGGCGGUAGUACGUCCCAAGGGUUGGGCUGUUCGCCCAUGAAAGCGGUACGCGAGCUGGGUUCAGAACGUCGUGAGACAGUUCGGUCCAUAUCCGGUGUAGGCGUUAGAAUAUUGAGAGGAGCCUUCUUUAGUACGAGAGGACCGAGAAGGACAUACCUCUGGUGUACCAGUUAUCGUGCCAACGGUAAACGCUGGGUAGCUAUGUAUGGAGUGGAUAACCGCUGAAAGCAUCUAAGUGGGAAGCCCACCUCAAGAUAAG